AGUGAACGCUGGCGGUAGGCCUAACACAUGCAAGUCGAACGGCAGCACAGUAAGAGCUUGCUCUUACGGGUGGCGAGUGGCGGACGGGUGAGGAAUACAUCGGAAUCUACUUUUUCGUGGGGGAUAACGUAGGGAAACUUACGCUAAUACCGCAUACGACCUACGGGUGAAAGCAGGGGAUCUUCGGACCUUGCGCGAUUGAAUGAGCCGAUGUCGGAUUAGCUAGUUGGCGGGGUAAAGGCCCACCAAGGCGACGAUCCGUAGCUGGUCUGAGAGGAUGAUCAGCCACACUGGAACUGAGACACGGUCCAGACUCCUACGGGAGGCAGCAGUGGGGAAUAUUGGACAGUGGGCGCAAGCCUGAUCCAGCCAUACCGCGUGGGUGAAGAAGGCCUUCGGGUUGUAAAGCCCUUUUGUUGGGAAAGAAAAGCAGCAGGUUAAAACCCCGCUGUUCUGACGGUACCCAAAGAAUAAGCACCGGCUAACUUCGUG
rnacentral:rRNA from 1 species